ACAAUCUCUCUCUCUCUCUCUCCUUUUUUUUUUGUUUUUUUUCUCCUUGGGGUCCUUCAAGAGGUCAUAGUGUGAACAAAGCUUACAAUACGUAAUUAUGAAAUGGUUGUUCAGUGAUUUUUUAGUGCACACCUGGAGCCGAGAUAUAUAUAUAUAUUGUUCUAAUCUUGCUGGAGUAGUUUAUUAAUGCGCAUGAGAGCAGUUAUUUAAUGUAGAUGAUAAACUUGAAUAUAGUAAAAGAAGACAGAAUUGUUAUCUGUCAACAUAAAAAGAAUUGUUGAUCGCCAUUAUAGUUUUGUGUGGACUGUGGGUUAACCAUUCAAUUUAAUCAUAAAUUUUCGUCUCUCUCUAACAAUUUUUUGGAUCGAAUCUUGGAAAUCUAUUCUCAGAUCUGUUCUUGAUGAUAGAUGUUUGAGUAUUAUUAUUAUUACUUUUUUUUUCUGAGUAGGAGAUCGGCAAGUCUGCUAAGAAAGUCUCUUUUAUAUCAUGAAAGACGCAGCCACAACUUGUCUUUUAAAGAAGGAAAAAACUUGGUAUUUAUUUUGACCAAUAAAAGAUGGUAAAUCCAAAUAUC
rnacentral:lncRNA from 1 species